rnacentral:rRNA from 1 species
UACGUAGGGUGCAAGCGUUGUCCGGAAUUAUUGGGCGUAAAGAGCGUGUAGGCGGCCCGAUUAGUCCGCUGUGAAAGUCCUGAGCUCAACCCUGGAAUGCCGGUGGAUACUGUCGGGCUAGAGUCCGGAAGGGGCGAGUGGAAUUCCUGGUGUAGCGGUGAAAUGCGCAGAUAUCAGGAGGAACACCAAUGGCGAAGGCAGCUCGCUGGGACGUGACUGACGCUGAGACGCGAAAGCGUGGGGAGCAAACAGG